rnacentral:rRNA from 1 species
CUACGGGUGGCUGCAGUUAAGAAUCUUCUGCAAUGCGCGCAAGCGUGACAGAGCGAGCCAGAGUGCUUAUCACAUGAUAAGCUUUUGUGAAAUGUAAAAAGUUUCACGAAUAAGGACUGGGUAAGACUAGUGCCAGCCGCCGCGGUAAUACUAGCGGUCCAAGUCGCAGCCAUGUUUAUUGGGUCUAAAACAUCCGUAGCUUGUUUAGUAAGUCUCUUGUGAAAUUUGAUGUCUUAAGCAUUGAGCGUGCAGGAGAUACUGCUGAGCUAGAGAUUGGAAGACGUGGAAAGUACGUUUAUAGUAGCGGUAAAAUGUGUUGAUCAUAAACGGACUAACAAUAGCGAAGGCAUUCCACGAGGACAGUUCUGACAGUAAGGGAUGAAGGCUAGGGGCGCAAAACGGAUUAGAUACCCCGGUAGUC